GAAAUGCGAUAAGUAAUGUGAAUUGCAGAAUUCAGUGAAUCAUCGAAUCUUUGAACGCACAUUGCGCCCGCCAGUAUUCUGGCGGACAUGCCUGUUCGAGCGUCAUUUCAACCAUCAAGCCCCCGGCUUGUGUUGGGGACCUGCGGCUGCCCGCAGGCCCUGAAAAACAGUAGCGGGCUCGCUGUCACACCGAGCGUAGUAGCAUACAUUCUCGCUCAGGGCGUGCUGCGGGUUCCGGCCGUUAAACGACCUUCAUAACCCAAGGUUGACCUCGGAUCAGGUAGGAAGACCCGCUGAACUUAAGC
rnacentral:misc_RNA from 1 species